rnacentral:rRNA from 1 species
CCAUUCGUNGCCGGGUUUAGCAGUNNGAUCAAGCCACCAUGGGACUGGAACNCUGCCCCGACCUUNACCGNGGGGCAGCAGUGGGAAUUAUUGUACAAUUGGCCGAAAGUNUGAUCCAGCCAUGACGCGUGGGGGAUGAAGGCCUUACGGGUAGUAAAGCACUUUCAGCGAGGAAGAACGCCUUGGGAUUCAUACUNCCGAGGAAAGACAUCACUCGCAGAAGAAGCACCGGCUAACUCCGUGCCAGCAGACGCGAUAAUACGGAGGGUGUAUGCGUGAAUCAGAGUAUCUGAGCGUAAAGCGCGCGUAGGUGGCUAAGUCAGCCAGGUGUGAAAGCGCCGGNCUCAACCUGGGAACUGCAUCUGGAACUGAUUGGCUAGAGUGCGGGAGAGGAAGGUAGAAUUCCCGGUGUAGCGGUGAAAUGCGUAGAGAUCGGGAGGAAUACCAGUGGCGAAGGCGGCCUUCUGGACUGACACUGACACUGAGGUGCGAAAGCGUGGGUAGCAAACAGGAUUAGAUACCCUGGUAGUCCACGCCGUAAACGAUGUCAACUAGCCGUUGGGUCCCUUGAGGACUUAGUGGCGCAGCUAACGCAAUAAGUUGACCGCCUGGGGAGUACGGCCGCAAGGUUAAAACUCAAAUGAAUUGACGGGGGCCCGCACAAGCGGUGGAGCAUGUGGUUUAAUUUGAUGCAACGCGAAGAACCUUACCUACCCUUGACAUCCAGAGGACUUUCCAGAGAUGGAUUGGUGCCUUCGGGAACUCUGAGACAGGUGCUGCAUGGCUGUCGUCAGCUCGUGUUGUGAAAUGUUGGGUUAAGUCCCGUAACGAGCGCAACCCCUAUCCUUAUUUGCCAGCGAGUAAUGUCGGGAACUCUAAGGAGACUGCCGGUGACAAACCGGAGGAAGGUGGGGACGACGUCAAGUCAUCAUGGCCCUUACGGGUAGGGCUACACACGUGCUACAAUGGCAAGUACAAAGGGUUGCAAUACUGCGAAGUGGAGCCAAUCCCAUAAAGCUUGCCUCAGUCCGGAUUGGAGUCUGCAACUCGACUCCAUGAAGUCGGAAUCGCUAGUAAUCGUGGAUCAGAAUGCCACGGUGAAUACGUUCCCGGGCCUUGUACACACCGCCCGUCACACCAUGGGAGUGGACUGCACCAGAAAGUGGUUAGCCUAACCUUCGGGAGGGCGAUCACCCAC